UGGUGUUGUGCAAACAAAAUCUUCCUCCCCGUGACUGGGAGCACUGAUGGCUUCCCAUGAUGGCUCCAGCUGUGUCCCCUGAUGGGAAACCCAUCUCAUCUUCAGCCUUGAGCAGCCUCUGGGGUCACACAGGGUGGCUGCCUCCAGGAGCAUGUGCCAAGCCAGAUGGCUGCUGACUCAUCUUCCCCAGACAGGGUGUCCUCACUAAGAAGUGAGGAGGAGCCUGUGCCUGCUGUGCCUGGAACACCAUCGGUCUCUGAGUGACCAGCAAGGUGAAUCAGCAAAGGAUGGAGCCAAAGCACAAGCAGCAGUACCAGAAGAACACCAGGCUGUGAACAAAGGAGCAGCAGGAUGCUAAGAGUGGAUGAAGCCCAGCAGUUUGUCUGGCAGAAACCUGCAUGUGAGAAACAGAAGAGAAGGGACGAAAGAGCAAAGAACAAGACACAGCCUGUCUCUUUUCACCUGCAAGACUUGGUUUGGUGCUCAUGCAAAUCCUGAGGCCAGGAACAGAGCUGCUCAGGCACACAGGAGGGCUGGAUGC